AUUUCGAACCACUAAAAUACCAAGAAACACUACAAUGUUUCUUCUCAGUAACAAUACUCCUUCAUCAAUUGAUAACCACAAUGUGCAACCCUGUACUUUCAAAAGACCGCUCAAAACUCAAUAAAUUCCAUCCAACACUAGGAAUAACAGACUUCACUCCAACCAAUCUGAAUUCACAAAAUUCCUAUAAUCACAGACUUCCCUUGUCGAAACACACACACACAACUCUCAAUAAACAAUAAUCAUAAUCUUCCAUCCAUAAUCAAUCUUCCAAUAACUUCUCAUAUAGUUCAAUUACUCAGUACUCUAAUUACAUAAUCAAUAACUCAUAAAUAAAUCUUUGAUUUAUUCCACAGACUCACUUUUCAGUAUUCAGAAACUAUCCAUUA
rnacentral:lncRNA from 1 species